rnacentral:rRNA from 1 species
UACGUAGGUGGCGAGCGUUGUCCGGAAUUACUGGGCGUAAAGGGCGAGUAGGCGGCUAUUUAAGUCAGGCGUGAAAGGCUAGGGCUUAACCCUAGGAUGGCGUUUGAGACUGGGUAGCUAGAGGGCCGGAGAGGGCAGUGGAAUUCCCAGUGUAGCGGUGAAAUGCGUAGAUAUUGGGAGGAACACCAGUGGCGAAGGCGACUGUCGGGACGGAACAUGACGAUGAGGCGCGAAAGCUAGGGGAGCAAACGGG